CCGUAUGGCAAGAAAGAGAGGUCCCACAGUCUUUGGCCUGGUAAGGAAUGAUAGAGCCCAUCCCGAGGAGUAGAACAUCGGGAGUAUAUUGUAUACCCCUGUACAAUGUUGAUGAAAACCUAGACCAAUGUUAUGUAGGCAGUACCGCUAGGACAUUAGAAAAAAGAAUAACUGAACAUAAGGCAGAUAUCGCACAUGGCAGAUUGACUACCGCCCUAUCGACUAUAGCAUAUGAACGUGAUGUGACAAUAGACUGGUCCCGUGCUGACAUCAUAAGAUCGGUUACUGGCUCUAAAGGCCUUACUAUGUUUGA
rnacentral:lncRNA from 1 species